GAUGAACGCUGGCGGCGUGCCUAAUACAUGCAAGUCGAGCGAACAGACGAGGAGCUUGCUCCUCUGACGUUAGCGGCGGACGGGUGAGUAACACGUGGAUAACCUACCUAUAAGACUGGGAUAACUUCGGGAAACCGGAGCUAAUACCGGAUAAUAUAUUGAACCGCAUGGUUCAAUAGUGAAAGACGGUUUUGCUGUCACUUAUAGAUGGAUCCGCGCCGCAUUAGCUAGUUGGUAAGGUAACGGCUUACCAAGGCAACGAUGCGUAGCCGACCUGAGAGAGUGAUCGGCCACAUGGGAGCUGAGACACGGUCAAGACUCCUACGAGAGGCAGCAGUAGGGAAUCUUACGCAGUGGGCGAAAGCCUGACGGAGCAACGCCGCGUGAGUGAUGAAGGUCUUCGGAUCGUAAAACUCUGUUAUUAGGGAAGAACAAAUGUGUAAGUAACUAUGCACGUCUUGACGGUACCUAAUCAGAAAGCCACGGCUAACUACGUG
rnacentral:rRNA from 1 species